GGCCGCCUAGCGUAAUGGUAACGCAUCUAACUUCGAUGUGCUCUAAAUCAAGAGAUUGCAGGUCCGAUCCCUGCGGUGGUCA
rfam:Sphaerobolus stellatus SS14 unplaced genomic scaffold SPHSTscaffold_913, whole genome shotgun sequence.